rnacentral:rRNA from 1 species
GUUACCGGCCAUAGGAGCUGUGGAAACACCCGUACAGGGGAAGCCCGCGGAACCGUUCCGAACACGGAAGUUAAACACAGCUCCGUUUCAAACAGUAGUGUGGUCUUCGGCCACGCGAGGUUUGAAAGCCGGUAACC